AUGAGUGAUCCAUGUGAAUGCUGCCAGAUCAAGCUUAAGUUUCUAAGGCAGAUCAAUGGCAACUUCAUGCACAGCCUGGUCAUACCGGAGUGGUUUGUGAACCAAUUUGGAGGAAAGAUCUGGAGAACUGUCAAACUAGAGUCCCCUAAUGGUAACGUCUAUGAUGUUGGAGUUACCGAGAAUAUGAACCGAACAAUUUUGAAGUCUGGAUGGGCAUCAUUUGUUGAUGCCAAUAAAAUAGAAGAAAAUUAUUCACUGAUGUUUCGUUACCUUGGAAACACCCGCUUCAAGGUUACAAUAUUCGAUUCCAGUGGUAAGCAGAAAGCGUCGUGCUGUGCUAGGAUGGGAACUGCUGCUUCUGAUGUUAGGAACCCAAGCACAUUUGAUGUUGAUAAUUCUAGUAGUUCUUGUGGUGGUACUACUCAGUCUUCACCAAGUGAAAGAUCAGAUUCAGAUGGAAGCCAAAAGGAAAGCUCGUACGGUUAUAAAAAAUCAGCAAAGAAGGCUGCAAUAUCAGAUUCUUCUGAGGAAUUAUCAGCUGAAGACAGUCUAUCUAGAGACAAUUUGGUGGAGUCAUAUGAUGUACAGGUGCAUUUGAAUGACUAUGUCUUAUCAGGGAAAUGUGAUCUUACAGUAGCACAGGAGGCAAAAAUACAAGCACUUGUAGAGAAAAUUCGAUCUGAAAUCCCGGUGCUUGUUGUACAGAUGAAGAAGACCAGCGCAAACUUUGGUAAUCUGAUAAUACGUAAGGACUACGCACUCAAGUACUUCCCAUGUGAAGCUACAAAUAUCAUACUUCAGCUGCCUAGGAAGAACAAGGAAUGGAAGUGCAGAUUUAAUCCAGGUCGGCGCAACCUUUAUUUGGGCUACUUUGUCCAUGACAACUGUGUUCAAGAGGGAGAUAUCUGCCUCUUUCAGCCAAUAGCAAAGGUUAAGGAAGGAAGAUUUACCAUAAUUGUCCAUCUUCUUCACAAAGAGAGCGUUCGUCGUUCCCCUGGCGGAACAGCAGGGAUGACACACACGGCUACCGACAGAAGAACAAGCGCAAAGACGUCCUUAACAGCCCGUGUUAAGAAGACGUCCUUAACAGCCCAUGUUAAGGAGGAACCAGCCACCGAUGGCGAACAUAAGACUACUGACAGAAGGACAGGCGCAAAGACGACGUUAACAUCCCGUGUUAAGGAGGAACCAGCUACCGAUGGUGAAGAUACUUCAUCUUUGAGACCUGAAGAGGAUGGAGACAAUUCUGAGGGAGCUUCUGAGACCCCCUUCGUACUGCCAGAAAGAGCCUCUAUAACGCCAGCACAGGAGCAGAAAGUGCGGGAGAAAGUAGAAGCCUUUGAGUCGACAGUACCAGUUUACGUCGCGAUCCUGAACAAGUGCAAUGUUGCUCGGAAAUCCGGCAUGAUAAUAACCAUGGGCAAGCAGUACGCGUUAAGAUAUCUCCAAAAACAGUACUUUACCGGGCAUCGUGGAAAGAAGAAUGUGAUCAGUCUGGUGCUUCAGCGGGAGGGGAAGAGUAGGAUGUGGGACACGGAGCUGCGACGCGGGAUUGAUCGUAUGAUGAUCUGUAAAGGAUGGGUUGCUUUCGCCCGUGGCAACCACCUGCAGGUGGGUGACCUCUGCCUCUUCAAGCUGAUGGAGAGCGAGGAGCCGCUGAAGAUGAUGGUUUACAUCAUUCGCCGUGAGAAGUGCUUAGAUUGA
rnacentral:rRNA from 1 species